rnacentral:lncRNA from 10 species
AACUGAAUCAUGGGGGCGGGUUUUUCGUAUGCUCUUCUCGUGAUAGUAAGUCUCACGAGUUCGUUAUAAAAGGCAGUUCCCCUGCACAUGCUCUCUUGCCUGCUGUCAUGCAACGUGUCUUUGCUCCUCCUUCACCUUCCGCCAUGAUUGUGAGGCUUCCCCAGCCAUGUGGAAACAUAUUCGCAGAGCACCCACUAGGUGCCAGUAAAUGUAUGAGAAGUCCUGUGGAAUAAGACUGAAGUUGUCCUUGCCUUCAAGCAACUUGCAAUUGCCUAAGAACACAGUUUAAAACCACAAAACUAAGCCUUGGAAAUCACAUGCUGUCAUUUCUGCGAUCGGUCAUAACCAGUCCUGAUUCCAUGUUAGAGGAGACUACAUAAGGACACAGGUACCAGAAGCUGGAUCCACUGACCUGGAAUGCCUGGACUGAAGCAGGAGACUAACCAGCAUGGGCUACAUCAAAAAGGCUGCCAUCUACUUUCUGCUGGGUAGGGGCACCAGAGAGACUUGUCAGAAACUAGAAGGAAGGUAGAGUGCGAAAUCUGAGUGUUAAUUCCCUGGCUUCAUCAAAGGACACUGGUCUUCACAAGGAAACAGACUACAUGAUUCUCCUUUUGGGCUUCAGUAAAAACCCCCUCCUUUCAUCCCUUAGUCUAGGGAUGGUAAGAGGUCAGCAGCUAAGAAUUCUAGGUUCUUUGUGGUUUUCCCGUAUACAUGUCUUUGAUGAUAGCCCCUUUGGAAAUAAAUUCUCCUAGACUUUUUUUUAGGGUGAUUGGGUCAUUGUUUUUUCUCCUGGAACCCUGAGUCCUCAAAUCAACCCUAUCUGAAAUGUGCCAUUAUUGCUACAUUUUAUAAUAGAGGAAGACAGAUGGCUUAUAUAAUUUGAUGAAGAUCACAUGUUUUGUAAGAAGAGCUGGGAUUGGAACUGUAGCAGUCUAGCUUUUCAGAUCAUGCUCUUAAUCACCACAAUAAGUAUCAAUAAGUGUCAAUAAUCACUAUAAUAAGUGGCAUUGUAGCAUAAUGACACUCUACUUAGAGCAAUAGCUUAGUUCAAGUCAUCUUUUCCUAUGAAACUUUCCAUUUAUUUGACUAUUACUGUUUCAUAGAACCUACCCCUCAAGUUUAUUGAGGGUCAUACUUAAAUUUUCUAUGCUUAUGCUCUUUUUUAAUACUCACAGAAAGAGUGUACCUAUCUAGGGGGCAGAGACUACAGGUUCAGUUUUUUAACCCACGGCAAGUAGUCCUAUCCUGAGAACAUGGUACAAAUUUAAUAAAUGUUUGCUGAUUUAUUUAAAAGUUUACUUGCACUUUGUAAGUAGCUCAACAAGGAGUAUCUUCUUGAAUGUGUCAGGAAUAUGGAAAGAAUUAGGCUGCCAUAGAGUGGAAAAUCUUGGGUCUGGCAGCAACUCCAACUAUUCUUUCUUCUUAGCUGUGUGACCUUGGAUGAGUCACUUAACUUCUGUGUAUCAACAUUAUCUCCAUGAGAGUAGUUACCAUGUUUGUGCCCCAUGUAUCUUGUGUGAACCUUGGAAUCUAUUAGACAUUUGAAAAAUAUGUGUUAAAUAGAUAAAUGAAUGUGUAUUUCAAAAAUAAACUUUACUUUUAGAAGAGUUUUAGGUGUACAGAAGAUAGUACAAAACAUUCUCGUAUAU